rnacentral:pre_miRNA from 1 species
GGCUAACCAGCACCAGUUCUUCAGUGGCAAGCUUUAUGUCCUUCUCUAGUAGCUAAAGCUGCCAGUUGAAGAACUGCCACUCUCUUC